GGAGCCCCCGGCCGUAGCCUCGCGCCGCCCGCCGCCCUCAGGCUCGUCCAGUCCGGCCGGGCGCCGCUGCCGCCGCUGCCGCCAUGCGCCACAGCCUCACGCAGCUGCUGGCGGCCGGCGGGGCCAGCCCCUCGGGCGCCGUCUGGCCGCUGGCCGGAGCGGGGCAGGCCCCGAGAGGGCGGGAUGGCGGCGGGGAAGGGGACCCGGGCCCCGCGCGGCCCAAACCGCAGCCGCCGCCGCGGCGGGACUCCCCGGGAGCCUCGGAGCCGCGGCGGCCGGAGAAGGAGGCUGAGGCGCCCGGCGGCCCGCUGGAGGUGUGGGAGCAAGAGGACUGGUUCCCGGGGCUGGAGCUGGGAGACCUGCUGGAGGCGGCCCGGCCGGACUGGGACCUGGACGCGGAGCUGAGCGGCUGCUUCUGUGGGGACCCGGAGCCGCCGCCCGCGCCCGGCCAGGGCCCGCGGCCGGCGGCGCCCGGGCGGAGGAGCGGCGGGGCCGGGAGUCGGCUGAAGGCGGCGGCGGCGCGGUUGAACCGGCUGAAGAAGAAGCAGUAUGUGCUGGGGCUGGAGAGCCGCCUGCAAGGCCUGGCUGCCGAGAACCGGCAGCUGCGGGACCGCAACCGCGGCCUGAGCCGCCGCCUGCGAGAGCUGGAGCGGGAGAGCAGCUACCUGCGGGCUGUGCUGGCCAACCAGAGCGCGCUGGGGCAGCUGCUGAGCCGCCUGGCCGGGACCCGCGCCGGCGGGCUGCAGCUCAGCACCAGCCUCUUCAGGGACACGGGCAGCCCCCGCCGCCAGCACCAGCAGCUCCAGCCCGCCGGCGAGAGCAGCGACCACGACUACGCACUGCCCAGCUCCCGGCCCCGCGGCCUGGAGGAGGCGGCGGCCGUGACUAAGACGGAGGAGGAGUGGGCGGCCCCCGGCGGGAUCUGCCUACACGUGGACCGGGAUCAGGUGUCGGUGGAGUUCUGCUCCAUCUGUGCUCGGCGGGCGGCGGCCUCCUUCAAAAUUUUCUCUUUUAGGUGGUUGCCCUGCCAGGCUCCGUUGUGUAGGGGUUAAAGAACAGUCGUUUCCCACCUCGCAACCUGUGGAUUCAGCUGUGUUGGGGCAGAAGAGACGGGACCAGCUGCUGGCCACAUUUCCUGCUUUAUUUUAAAAGGCUCUGAAGUGUCAUGACUGGUUAAUUACACGCUGCUGAAUCACAAUCUUUGAUCAGAUUGCUAUUUCCACACUAAACACAGGGUAAGUGGUUCUGUUGGUUAAAGUCUGAUGGCUUCCGGAGAUAGGACAGUUCACUGUCCUGUAAAAUACUUGCUCCGUGAGAAUCUGCAGUCGGGGUGAUCAAGACAUUAGCUCCCCUUGGGAUACAAACAGCAAGUCCUGCCAGCGACUGGCAGCUACUUCUUUCCAAGGCCCAGCAAUCCAUAAGUCCAGAGUUUCUAUCCAGACAUUACCACAUCACUACUGAGUAUCUGCAUCCCCUGCUCUCCUGGGGAAGGAAGAGUUUCGGAGGCUGAAAAGGGCAGCAGAUCCUACACAAAGUUGUAGCCUUUUCUUUCCCACCUGUGUGGGAGGCCCUGUGUUACUACCAGCCAUUUGUUUAGCCAGCAAUUUAGUCCUAUUAAAAAUAUAAAUAAAAUAAGCUUCUGAUUGCUCUUAUUUCUAAAAAAAAUAUCCAAGCUGAUACACACAUGCAAAUGGCUCCUAACAGAAGCAGCUCAGGUCCAGUAAGGUUUUGCAGUGACAUGCAGUGUCACAAACCAAAAGGUCAUUUGUGAGGCCCAGAGGGCAUUUAGCUGGCUUUGUGCUGCACAGAACCCUGCUGGAGAGCCUGCAGGACUCCAGCUGACUCCUCCACCUGGAUACCUCAAUCUCACCUUCCUGAAACAGGGAGCGCCAAAGAAUGAGAUGCAGAAACCAGCAGGUUGAUGCUCGCUCAGUUCUGGCCCCAGGCCAGCCCUGCUGGACACAAGAUGACUGCAGCAGAAUCACAUUUCAGUUUCCUAGAAAAUGUUUUAGCUCUAGCAUAGCACUGUGAGAAUUCUCAGAGCGAGUCAGGCCUGACCAGCCAUCCCACAGCCCUAAGCACUGAGAGCACAUGCCAGAGACCAGCUGAGCAGGACCAGGGCCAACACUGAAAUAACCACAUUGAAAAAACAGAAAACAAGUUGUUCUGGACAAUAACAAGCAUCUUCACAAUUAGCUAAUUUUGUUAACGGCAAGGAAAAUUCGUAAUAGAAGAAUAAGGAAAAAGAAAAACCUCCAAGACUUGAAAUGUUUGAUGCACUUAUCUUCAUUUACUUUACCAG